rnacentral:rRNA from 1 species
UACGUAGGGUGCAAGCGUUGUCCGGAAUUAUUGGGCGUAAAGAGCGUGUAGGCGGCCCGAUUAGUCCGCUGUGAAAGUCCAGGGCUCAACCCUGGAAUGCCGGUGGAUACUGUCGGGCUAGAGUCCGGAAGGGGCGAGUGGAAUUCCUGGUGUAGCGGUGAAAUGCGCAGAUAUCGGGAAGAACACGCGUGGCGAAGGCGGUUCUCUGGGACGGUACUGACGCUGAGACGCGAAAGCGUGGGGAGCGAACAGG